ensembl:miRNA
CCUGGUCACGUGACUUGUGGGCUUCCCUUUGUCAUCCUUUGCCUAGGGUUCUGAGCAGGGCAGGGACAGCAAAGGGGUGCCCAGGUGUCACCUC